GGAAAUUGGCAACGUUUCGGGCCGAAACCCAGAAGGGUUUCGACCCGAAACGUUGUCUAUUUCCUUAGCUCCAUAGAUGCUGCUGCACCCGCUGAGUUACUCCAGCACUCUGUGAAAUGUCACCUAUCCAUGUUCCCCACAGAUGCUGCCUGACCCGCUGAGUUACUCCAGCACUCCGUGGCCUUUCAAGCAUCUGUGGAGGAAAUGGACAGGUGGCGUUUUGGGUUGAGACCCUUCUUAAGGGAGAUGUGUUGACAGGUUAGAAGUUAUAACUUAGCAACAAUUGCUGAUGGAGAAAUAUUAGCCAGCAAAGGUUAAAAACACUCCUCUCGUCUAAAAAAAGUGCUUUCUUAUUUAAGUCUUGGACAGCACAAAAACAGACCUUCAACCCACCUUGUCUAUGACAAUCUAGUUGGAAUACUAGGCAUCUCAUUUACCUGCAUUUGCCCCAUACCCCUCGAUCCUUCCUAUCCAUAUGUGUCCAAAUAAGUUCAUAAGUGAUAGAAGCAGAAUUAGGCCAUUCGGCCUAUCAAGUCUACCCCGCCAUUCAAUCAUGGGUGAUCUAUCUCUCCCUCUCAACCCCAUUCUCCUGCCUUCUCCCCAUAACCGCUGACACCCGCACUAAUCAAGAAUCUAUUUAUCUCUGCCUUGAAAAUAACCAACUGAUGUGAAAGCAGUAUCAGAACUGAUGCAGCGUUCCUUCAAGACUGCGUGCGGUUUGUGAGUCAACGGUUAUCCGUGUGAAGAUGAAUCUUUUCACACAUGGACAGGAAGUGUUGAGAGGGUCAAACCACAUGCAUUUCAAGCACAAUAUUGUGGCACCACAGAGCUGUCUCACAUGCCUGCCCUGUGACUACAGGAGCAAAGAUCAAAUCUGCUCCACAUGUUAAACCAGUGUCUGCUGGCAAUUUCCUCUUGGGCCCUAUCUAAAGCCAGAUACGGACUUCCUCACAGCUCACUCCACACAGGGAUUACCCACCCAGUGAGACAGACACAGAAAGCUGGAGUAACUCAGCGGCAGUAACUCAGGCAGUAUCUCUGGAGAGAAGGAAUGGGUGACGUUUCGGGUCGAGUUCCGAAGAAGCAUUUCCACUAGAAAGGGCAGUGCAGCUGCAGUGUUGAAUAGUACCAACAUCCUCUUUGAAGGUUUAGUACUUCACACGGAAACCAAGGCGCUGAGAUUGUUCUCCCGUUCCGACGUCAGAGUUCCAUCAUCCCGGCGAGAGGGCCUGAACAUCGGGCUGCCCGUAGCGGUGAAAGAGGGGGGAGGCCCCGACCACGGGUGAACAACAGAAUAACAGAGGAGGAUGACUGAACUUUGGUGCCUUCCUUCACAGUGGGAAACUUUGAUUCCGCUGUGUGGGGAUGUUUGGGUUAAAGACUAUCGUGUUCUGUGUUCUUUUUUUUAAAUUCGUAUGGCUGUAUAGGUGACCACAUAUUUCACUGCACCAAUUGGUGUAUGUGAUAAUAAAUGUCUCUUGUCUUGUCUCUUGACUCUGGACACUUGCCCAUUUACACUUGACUCUGGACACUUGACCAUUUACACUUGACUCUGGACACUUGACCCUUGACACUUGACCAUUUACA